CACCAGCCCCUCGAGUGGUGGGGAUGAUUAUUUGGCCUAAAGCGUCCGUAGCCGGCCGGGUAAGUUUCCCGUUAAAUCCAGCGUCCCAAGCGUUGGACUGCGGGAAAUACUGCCUGGCUAGAGAGUGGGAGAGGUCAGCGGUAUUCUGGGGGUAGGGGCGAAAUCCUUUGAUCCCCGGAGGACCACCAGUGGCGAAGGCUGCUGACUAGAACACGUCUGACGGUCAGGGACGAAAGCUGGGGUAGCGAACCGGAUUAGAUACCCGGGUAGUCCCAGCCGUAAACGAUGCAUGCUAGGUGUUGGGUUGGCCACGAGCCACUUCAGUGCCGCAGGGAAGCCAUUAAGCCCGCCGCCUGGGGAGUACGGCCGCAAGGCUGAAACUUAAAGGAAUUGGCGGGGAGCACCACAAGGCGUGAAGCUUGCGGUUC
rnacentral:rRNA from 1 species